rnacentral:lncRNA from 1 species
CUCCCUCCUUCCUUCCCUCCCUUCCUCCCUCUCUCCCUCCCUCCCAGCUCCUGCACCAGGAAACGGCCCGGAUCCCGGCAGCGGCCUGACCCGGCUCCACGCUGGCCAGGAGGAUGAAAGGCCCCAGCUGGGGGCUCCUUGCCACCAGUGCUGUGUCUUAAGAGCUGCCAUCCCGGCUGGGGGCCGGGCUAGAGCGACAUCAUGGUAUUCCCCUUACUAAAAAAAGUGUGUAUUAGGAGGAGAGAGAGGAAAAAAAGAGGAAAGAAGGAAAAAAAAAAGAAUUAAAAAAAAAAAAAAGAAAAACAGAAGAUGACCUUGAUGGAAAAAAAAUAUUUUUUAAAAAAAAGAUAUACUGUGGAAGGGGGGAGAAUCCCAUAACUAACUGCUGAGGAGGGACCUGCUUUGGGGAGUAGGGGAAGGCCCAGGGAGUGGGGCAGGGGGCUGCUUAUUCACUCUGGGGAUUCGCCAUGGACACGUCUCAACUGCGCAAGCUGCUGCCCAUGUUUCCCUGCCCCACUUCACCCCCUUGGGGGCUGCUCAAGGGUAGGUGGGCGUGGGUGGUAGGAGGUUUUUUUUUUUACCCAGGGCUCUGGAAGGACACCAAACUGUUCUGCUUGUUACCUUCCCUCCGUCUUCUCCUCGCCUUUCACAGUCCCCUCCUGCCUGCUCCUGUCCAGCCAGGUCUACCACCCACCCCACCCCUCUUCUCCGGCUCCCUGCCCCUCCAGAUUGCCUGGUGAUCUAUUUUGUUUCCUUUUGUGUUUCUUUUUCUGUUUUGAGUGUCUUUCUUUGCAGGUUUCUGUAGCCGGAAGAUCUCCGUUCCGCUCCCAGCGGCUCCAGUGUAAAUUCCCCUUCCCCCUGGGGAAAUGCACUACCUUGUUUUGGGGGGUUUAGGGGUGUUUUUGUUUUUCAGUUGUUUUGUUUUUUUGUUUUUUUUUUUUUUCCUUUGCCUUUUUUCCCUUUUAUUUGGAGGGAAUGGGAGGAAGUGGGAACAGGGAGGUGGGAGGUGGAUUUUGUUUAUUUUUUUAGCUCAUUUCCAGGGGUGGGAAUUUUUUUUUAAUAUGUGUCAUGAAUAAAGUUGUUUUUGAAAAU